rnacentral:lncRNA from 10 species
GGAGGCUGCUUGCUGUAUGAUGCAACUGAGAGGGUAGAACAAGGCUGGCACAGAGAAGGUGGGGAAGGAAAAGGAGAGACGAAGCUGAGAUUUCAGCAGGGCCAAGUCAGCCGUGAGUGCCAGGCUGCGGAGCCCAGAUUCUCUGGGCUGAGAAAGAGCACUCUGUCCAGAGUGUGGAGGGGGGCCUGGAGGGGAUGAGACUCAAAGCUGGGAGGCCAGAGAGGAGGCUGCUAGAGUUUUCUGGGAGAGAGUUACUGGGGCCUGAACUCCAGUGAGGCACUUCCCAUUUCACAGACCAGGAAACUGAGGCCCAAGAGUGAGGCAACUGGCCCAAGGGCACACAGCCAGGGACUGGACAUUUUUGCAAGAGACAGGAGCUGUGACUGUGCAUUCACUGCUGUAUCCCCAGCACCCAGCACUGGGCCUGCCACACAAUGGUCGGGGAGGGUGGGGCCCGCAAUGGCUCCCAGGCGCCCAGAGACCCUGGAGGGUGAGCAGGGUCUCCCCUCCCCUCUCCUGCCCGUCUUUAGCCACACUGGGGCGCACACCGCUCACUCACCCGGGGCCGAGGCGUUAGCCCUUUCUUGCACCAGGUGCCGC